rnacentral:rRNA from 1 species
AUUGAACGCUGGCGGCAGGCCAAACACAUGCAAGUCGAGCGGAUGAAGGGAGCUUGCUCCUGGAUUCAGCGGCGGACGGGUGAGUAAUGCCUAGGAAUCUGCCUGGUAGUGGGGGAUAACGUCCGGAAACGGGCGCUAAUACCGCAUACGUCCUGAGGGAGAAAGUGGGGGAUCUUCGGACCUCACGCUAUCAGAUGAGCCCAGGUCGGAUUAGCUAGUUGGUGGGGUAAAGGCCUACCAAGGCGACGAUCCGUAACUGGCCUGAGAGGAUGAUCAGUCACACUGGAACUGAGACACGGUCCAGACUCCUACGGGAGGCAGCAGUGGGGAAUAUUGGACAAUGGGCGAAAGCCUGAUCCAGCCAUGCCGCGUGUGUGAAGAAGGUCUUCGGAUUGUAAAGCACUUUAAGUUGGGAGGAAGGGCAGUAAGUUAAUACCUUGCUGUUUUGACGUUACCAACAGAAUAAGCACCGGCUAACUUCGUG